rnacentral:snRNA from 1 species
UUCCUUGGAUGUCUGAAA